UAACGCGAAGAACCUUACCCAGGCUUGACAUGCAGUAGACAACGCUAGAAAUAGCGUCUUCCUUCGGGACUGCUGCACAGGUGCUGCAUGGCUGUCGUCAGCUCGUGCCGUGAGGUGUUGGGUUAAGUCCCGCAACGAGCGCAACCCUUAUCGUUAGUUGCCAACAUUUUAGGUGGGAACUCUAACGAGACUGCCCGGGUUAACCGGGAGGAAGGUGAGGAUGACGUCAAGUCCGCAUGGCCCUUAUGUCUGGGGCUACACACGUGCUACAAUGGCCGGUACAGAAGGCAGCGAAGCCGCGAGGUGGAGCAAAUCCAAAAAGCCGGCCCCAGUUCAGAUUGUAGUCUGCAACUCGACUACAUGAAGACGGAAUUGCUAGUAAUGGCGAGUCAGCUACAUCGCCGUGAAUACGUUCCCGGGUCUUGUACACACCGA
rnacentral:rRNA from 1 species